rnacentral:tRNA from 1 species
UCCCUGGUGGCUCAGACGGUAAAGCAUCUGCCUGCAAUGUGGGAGACCCGGGUUCGAUUCCUGGGUCGGGAA